GCUAGGCCUGCACGGAGCCUGGGCGGGGUGUAGGAGGACCUGGAGGAGUGCUGGAGCCAGGCAAGCUGGGCUGCUACCAGGAACCCGAACCCCUCCAGACACCCCGGGAGAGGUGACCCACCUGCCCCUGUGCGCAAGUCACUGAAAGUUUUGGAGCCUGGUUUUCUUACCUGAGAAAUGGGGCUGAUGAUCGUCCUGACUGAUCGAUUGGACCACCCGGUACACCACUGGCCUCUCCGAUCCACAAGCUUCGAAAGCAUUUUCAUAUCAGAAGCAUGUGGAAGUCCCAGCCCCUGAGACCUGAGAGUGGGACCUCAUUUGGAAACAGGAUCCUGCAGAUGUGGUCAAGACAAGCACUGGGCUGGGCGGGGCCCAAGUCCAGGAACAGGCAUCCUCCUAAGAGGAAAGAGACCAACACGGUGCCAUGGGAGGCAGGCGAGGUUGGAGCAACGGCACAAGCCAGGGAAGCUGAGAGCAGCAGAUGCUGGGACAGGUGGCUAGGAGCCACCGGUGCACCCGGGGAGCACGCCCUUGCGAGGUGAUGAAAAACCUGCUGAAAUAGCACAGAGCAGCCCCUCCCGCGGUGGUUCAUAGCAUUCAUCCCCUGAGAGCCCACACAGGCCACACCACCGGCCCACAGAGGGGAAGCUGAGGCAGGAGCCUAAUGACUCGCCCCAGGCCUCAAAACGAUGUGCACUGGGGCUGUUUCCACUAUUAAGUCAACAAUCUCUGCAGUUUCUGCUUAAUGGUCUCAAUUAAGGUUCUCUUAAUAAAGAACAUUUGUGGAGAAGAUGGGUGGGGCUGACACAGUUCUGCGGUCCACAAUGCCUCUGAAUCCCAGUGAAAACAGGCUAGAGCCUUCUCAGCUCCCAAGGCACAACCAAAAUACAGACAGACAGGAGCGCCCCAGGGAAGGAGAACUGGCGUGGUGUCCACACAGGCAUCAGGAAGUGUGUGAGCCUGCGAAUGUGCACCUGUGUGCAUGUGGUGGCAUGUAGGUGGAAUGUAGGUGGCACGUGUGCAUGAAUCGAGUGCAUAUACAUGUGAAUGGUAUGUGUGCACAUGUAAGCAUAUGUAUGCCAUAUGCGUGUACACGUUGCAUGUGAGUAUAUGUAUACCAUGAGUGUGCACUGUGCAUGUGAGCAUAUGCAUGCUGUAUGUGUACACUGUGCAUGUGAGCAUAGGUGUACCGUGUGUGUGUGCACUGUGCAUGUGAGCAUAUGCAUGCCGUGUGCGUGUAUGCACUGUGCAUGUGUGCAUAUGUACGGUGUGUGCAUGUGUGCACUGUGCAUGUGAGCUUACGUAUGCUGUGUGCACUGCGCAUGUGAGCAUAUGUAUGCUGUGUGCACUGUGCAUGUGAGCAUAUAUAUGCCAUGCCUGUGCACGUGAGCAUAUGUAUCCUGUGUGCAUGUGUGCACUGUGCAUGUGAACAUAUGUAUGCCAUGUGUGUGCACUGUACAUGUGAGUAUAUGUAGGCCGUGCCUGUGCACUGUGCAUGUUAGCAUAUGUAUCCUGUGUGUGCGUGUGCAGUGUGCAUGUGAGCAUAUAUAUGCCAUGUGCGUGCACACCGUGCAUGUGAGCACAUAUAUGCUGUGUACUGUGCAUGUUAGCAUGUGUAUGCCAUGUAUGCGUGUGUGCACUAUGCAUGUGAGCAUAUGUGUGCUGUGUGCACUGUACAUGAGCAUAUGUACACUGUGUGCAGCAUGCAUGUGAACAUAUAUAUACCAUGUACGUGAGCACUAUGCAAGUUAGCAUAUGUAUGCCGUGUGUGGGCACUGUGCAUGUGAACAUAUGUAUGCCAUGUGCAUGUGUGCACUGUACAUGUGAGCAUAUGUACGCUGUGUGCGGGCACUGCCUGUGAGCAUAUGUAUGCCAUGUGUGCAGUGUGCAUGUGAGCAUGUCAUGUGUGCACUGUAUGUGAGCAUGUUUGCCAUGUAUGCAUGUGUACGGCACAUGUGAGCAUGUGUAUGCCAUGUGUGCAUGUGUGCACUGUGCAUGUGAGCAUAUACCAUGUGUGCAUGUGGACUGUGCAUGUGAGUAUAUGUAUGCCGUGUGUGUGUGGGCACUGUGCAUGUCAGCAUAUGUAUGCCGUGCAUGUGCACUGUGCACGUGAGCAUAUGUAUGCUAUCUAUGUGCAUGCACUGUGCAUGAACAUAUGUAUAUGCCGUGUGCACUGUGCAUGUGAGCGUAUGUAUGCCAUGCAUGUGCAUUGUGUAUGUAAGCAUAUGCCAUGUGUGCACUGUGCAUGUGUGCAUAUGUAUGCCAUGUGUGCAUGUGCACAGUGCACAUGUACGUGCCAUGUGUGCACAUAUGUGCAUGUGUCCCUCUGUGUGUCAACACCCAUGUCUGUACCUGCUGCUCUCUUUGGAGAGAAAUACCUACGUGCUCACCUUUGGCCUUCAUGGAGUGACUCACUGGCCCCGGUGGGUGCUGUCUCAUGGAUGGGCUUGAGUUCUGAAGGGCGCCGUCCAGGCAGGAGCAGGUGGAGAAGCCAUAGCUACUCACUUCCAAAACUUCCUUGACUGCUCAGGGUUCAGGCCUCCCCAUGUAAAGAGGGCCCUCCGGCGGGGCUUCCUUGUGUCCACACCAGCCUGGGUCUCAGGAAGACCUUGAGGGGCAGGACCAAACAGGUGAGGGGGACAGACCCUUAGUCCAUCCCUCAGGGUUGCUGGAGCCCCAGAAGCUCCUGCCUAGACCCCCAUCCAAAAGUCAGACCAGCAGAAGUCAAGCAGACCAAACUUAGACUAAUGCGUGGGUGACUGAUGGCCUUUUAAUAAUCCAGACGCAUCUGCAUUUUCAGACCAGGAUCUCAUUUAACACAAACAGCUCUUUAAUUGGUUGCAUUCCAGGGGCUUAACAAAGUGGGAACUGCAGCAUGUUGGGGGAGGGAGGAGUCAGCCCAUGCUGCGGGGUGGCUGGCCCCCCAUUGGCCCCCACGGGGCACCCCAGAUGCCCCUACCAUGGCCUACUGUCCACGCCAAGCCCUCCACGGUGGUGGCCAACACACGGGGGCUCCUGAGGGCUGCCUGUGGCAGGGCACUCAGAAAUGGGGGUGACCGAGGCUCCUGCGGGGGUGCGCAGGCCUCCCUGGGCACAGAUGCUGCCUGGGCUGUGAGGGAGAAGCUGUCUGCUGGUGGCUCUGUCCUCUCCAGGAGGCCCUGGGGUGAGGGCAGCAGUUGAGGCUGCAUAAGAGCACUUCACACCCAGGGCUCCGUUCAGCCAGGUCAUAGGGCCCCCCCGGCUCCUGGAUCCACUGGGACCGCCCAGCAGAGGGAACCGCAGCCGUGCAUAUGGAGCGGGAGAGGCCGCAGGGCUGCAGCCCGAGCUCAGAUCGAGGAAGGCUCCAUCCCUCCUGUCCUCAUCACAGGGUGACAUGGUUCGGGUGAGCCCCCGUCCUGGGACUUUGGCUAACAAAACAAAGACAGGCUUUGCACGACUGGGGGACCCUGGGCAGCACAAGAGCAGCACCCCCAAGAUGGGGAGGAAUGAAGCUGGGCGUGAGACGCUCGGCCCUUGAGGGCGGGUCUGGAAGCCGGGUUCCCCAUGUGGCAUCCACGCAGCUGCAGCUGCCUGGGAUCACGGCACACGCGACUCUCAUGUGUCGUUGCUGAGGAGCAAUUCCCUAUUACCUCUGUCUUCUCCUCAACUUCUGACUCUGCUGUUGCCUUCUUGCAGCAUCUACAUCAUUUCCUCCAGCAGAACUCACUUGCCCCAGGCAGCGACUCCAGGCGCCUGUCUCAGGCUGCAGGCACGGGGACCCGUGGCUGCCACACACAGCUUGAGGGCAGGAGGCCCCUGCCCCGACCGUCUACAGUGGCACAUCCAGCUGCAGCAGUGAGAAGCCUGUGAGGCCGCAGCUCACCCCUGUGCUGGUACCGCCACACGCGCUCACGUACACACGUGCUCAUGUACACACAUGCAUGUUACAGGCCUGCGUGGGUGGACUCAGGUGUGUGGGCGUCCAUCCUGAAUCGGGACAGAAAAGUCAUUUGUAGACCAUGCAUGACCUCAAAAUCUUUCCAAAUUAAAUCUUCAAAAAUCGGAAACAAAACAAAACCAACAUCUAACCUGCUCCUCAGCAACGCUACGUGCCCCAGCGUGGACAGUUCCCAGGCCCACGUGCUUAGUCCUGCAGAUCAGACACGAUUCCAAUAAAAUCAGCAGGAGGUAGAACACUUUAUAGCCAUUUUCUAGACACACACUGUCUGAUGGAAAUCUAAUGGGAACCACAUAUGCUAUUUUAAGGUUUCUAAUGUCCACAUUAAAAAAAGAAUAAAAAAUAGGUGUCUUUUUUUUUUUUUUUUUUUUUUAAA